rnacentral:rRNA from 1 species
GAACGCUAGCGGCAGGCCUAAUACAUGCAAGUCGAACGAUACUCUUUAGCUUGCUAGAGAGGAAAGUGGCGCACGGGUGCGUAACGCGUAUGCAACCUACCUUAAUCAGGGGGAUAGCCCGAAGAAAUUCGGAUUAACACCGCAUAAAAUCACAGUACAGCAUUGUACAAUGAUCAAAUAUUUAUAGGAUUAAGAUGGGCAUGCGUGACAUUAGUUAGUUGGCGGGGUAACGGCCCACCAAGACCACGAUGUCUAGGGGAUCUGAGAGGAUGACCCCCCACACUGGUACUGAGACACGGACCAGACUCCUACGGGAGGCAGCAGUAAGGAAUAUUGGUCAAUGGAGGCAACUCUGAACCAGCCAUGCCGCGUGCAGGAAGACAGC